AUGGACAGUCAAGCGCAGUGGCGUAGCUAGGUCGUCUGGCACCCGGGGCCCAUAGGUCUUCUGUCACCCGCCCCCCCCCCCCCGGGUGUAGCCGGCGGAAAGAGGGGUGUCUUCAGACGUAUAUGACACCCCCCCCCCCCUUUCACAGGCCCCUUGCACCCGGGGCACACGGCCCCCCGCCCCCCCCUAUUGCUACGCCACUGGUCAAGCGUCCACUUCUCUGGAGAAGCGUGUGGAGUGGGGGGCGGUGGUGGUGGUAUACGAACAAAACUGAGCUGUGGUUCCAGGAAUCUCAGACGGACGACGUGCGCCGGAAGCAUGGAGAAAGGAGAAAACUCGAGGAAAGAGACUGAAGCUAGCAAAACUCGACCCACAUACCGGUGAUCGUGUCAAGGUGUGUUUUAACUUUUCAACUGUCAAGGGUGGCGGUGGUGGUGUACGAACAAAACUGAGCUGAGGUUCCAGGAAUCUCAGACGGACGACGUGCGCCGGAAGCAUGGAGAAAGGAGAAAACUCGAGGAAAGAGACUGAAGCUAGCAAAACUCGACCCACAUACCGGUGAUCGUGUCAAGGUGUGUUUUAACUUUUCAACUGUCAAGGGUGGCGGUGGUGGUGUACGAACAAAACUGAGCUGAGGUUCCAGGAAUCUCAGACGGACGACGUGCGCCGGAAGCAUGGAGAGAGGGGAAACUCGAGGAAAGAGACUGAAGCUAGCAAAGCUCGACCCAUAUACCGGUGAUCGUGUCAAGGCAAACAACACACGUAGGCUGAGAACACCGAGCGACGAUGUAUUGCUGCUGUUGUCCUAGUGUGUGUUGGGUGACACAUAUCCGCUUGGGGGGUGAUAUACUACACGCCAUUGUGUCUUCUUUUUUCUUUAUAUUUUCUUUUCUGCUCUGUCUGUUUGUUAUUGUCAUAAUAUAUGGUACACGGGAGUGCGAAGCCUAAACAUACGAAGACAGUGCGCCGUGCGGUGGCGAAGAGGACCAUCAUCAUCAUCGACACCGAUUUGGGAGCGCCGGCAGUGGCGCCUCAAAAAGCGUGGCGCGAGAGUGUGGCCCGUGGCUCGUGGCGUGAGCAGUGCGCGAGAUUCGGCGGUCGCCGAAAAGCAGCUUCCUCGCUGGGCGUCUGGCCCAUAGGAGCUAUCGCCGACCACGCCAAUACGCCACACCUGAAGCAACACUGUCGCCCGCUGGGAGGCUACCUCGCCCCGCUCUUCCGCUGGGCACUGGUCCAGGAGGGCUGGCGGUCCGGAACCAGGGCACUCGAGCGUUCGGGUGAGCGGCCACAGGGCUACCCCGCCAGCUGUGGACGCGACCCGGUGACUGCGGCCGGCUACCUGAGCGCCGCGAGGCGGUCCGACCCGGCCGUCCAACCCGGCCAUCCGACCCGGCCGACCGUCCCGGCCGUCCGACCCAGCUGUCCGACCCGGCCGUCCAACCCGGCUGUCCGACCCAGCCGACCGUCCCGGCCGUCCGACCCAGCUGUCCGACCCGGCCGUCCUACACUGUUGUCCGACCCCGCUGGCCGGCAUCGGUUCAACGAGGUCUAAGACACGGCGACACAAGCUGCCGCCGGAACUGUAGGCCGAUCGUAAUCCACCGAUACAUAUAGUGCAUGUCGCCUAUGAGGCAUUUUGGGACAUUGUGACGCGUGUGUGCCAUUAUCCGUGUUAUGUAUGUAAAUACAUGUCUGAUGUGUGUUUUUGCUUUGG